rnacentral:lncRNA from 1 species
UGUUUGUCGGUUAACUGUUAUUUGGCAUGUUUUACAGUUUUAAAUGUAGCAUGAGGUUGGAUGUUUUCAUUUUAUAGUUUCGUGUGCAUAUUUUUACUGUUUUAUCGAUUAUGGAUUGAAUGACUGGGAUAUUGAUACUGUAUGUUGUCUGUUUGGCAUAAAUUAUCGUUUUGCUUGUUUGUAUGUGGAUUGAUAAUGCUGACUGAGGGAAAGAGAGAAUGAAAGAUUAUGUAAAUGAGUAAUUGUAUAAUGUGGUCAGCCUGACUAGAUAUCCUGGGAGAUGGUGGACGGACCGGGUCCGUAGAAAAACCUACCGGGAUUGUGGUCUCCCAUACCGGAC